CCUACGGGUGGCUGCAGUAGGGAAUCUUCCACAAUGGGCGAAAGCCUGAUGGAGCAACGCCGCGUGAGUGAAGAAGUAUUUCGGUAUGUAAAGCUCUAUCAGCAGGGAAGAAAAUGACAGUACCUGACCAAGAAGCCCCGGCUAACUACGUGCCAGCAGCCGCGGUAAUACGUAGGGGGCAAGCGUUAUCCGGAUUUACUGGGUGUAAAGGGAGCGUAGACGGUUAUGUAAGUCUGGAGUGAAAGCCCGGGGCCCAACCCCGGGACUGCUUUGGAAACUGUGUAACUGGAGUACAGGAGGGGAAGGGGGAAUUCCGGGUGUAGCGGGGAAAUGCGUAGAUGUCAGGAGGAACACCGGCGGCGAAGGCGGCCUGCUGGACUGAAACUGACGUUGAGGCUCGAAGGCGUGGGGAGCAAACAGGAUUAGAUACCCUGUAGUC
rnacentral:rRNA from 1 species